GUUUUAAUAGUUUAGGUAAAAUAUUAUAUUGUGGGUAUAAAGAGACAUAAGUUUAAGGCA
rnacentral:tRNA from 1 species